rnacentral:piRNA from 1 species
UGUUAAGAAACUCGGAUUUUCAUUUCUUAG